rnacentral:rRNA from 1 species
AUUUUAACGUUUGCGGUACUCUGACCGUGCGAAGGUAGCAUAAUCACUUGUUCUUUAAAUGGGGACUUGUAUCAACGGCAUCACGAGGGCCAUACUGUCUCCUUUUUCCAAUCAGUGAAACUGAUCUUCCCGUGAAGAAGCGGGAAUUAACCUAUAAGACGAGAAGACCCCAUGGAGCUUUAAACCCAACAACAAGUCUAAAUAAACACACCCUAAAAAUUAAUGACACCUGAACUGUUGGUUUUAGGUUGGGGUGACCGCGGAGUAUAAACUAACCUCCACGACGAACGGGAUUAAACCCUUAUCUACGAGCCACCGCUCUAAGAAUCAGCACACUGACUUCUAAUGAUCCGAUAUUCGAUCAACGAACCAAGUUACCCUGGGGAUAACAGCGCUAUCCAUUUCAAGAGCUCCUAUCGACAAAUGGGUUUACGACCUCGAUGUUGGAUCAGGGUAUCCUAGUGGUGCAGCCGCUACUAAAGGUUUGUUUGUUCAACAAUUAAAACCCUACGUGAUCUGAGUUCAG